AGUCUAUUCAGAGGAACCUGUCCUGUAAUUGAUAAUCCACGAUGAACCUUACUUAAAUUUGUUUUCAGUUUAUAUACCGUCGUUAUCAGAAUAUUUUAUUAGAAUAAUAAUUUUCAAUAAUUUUUAUAGGAAUGUAUAUCAGAUCAAGGUGUAGCUUAUGUUUAAGUAGAGAUGGGUUACAAUAAAUUUAUUUAAAUGGAUCUAAUUUUGAAAUUUUUAGUGAAAGUGGAUUUGAUAGUAAAAUUAUAAAGAUAAUUAAUUUGAUUUUAGCUCUAGAAUAUGCACACAUCGCCCGUCGCUCUUAUUAUUAAGGUAAGAUAAGUCGUAACAUAGUAGAUGUACCGGAAGGUGUAUCUAGAAUGA
rnacentral:rRNA from 1 species